UCCGAUCGGUACAAGAUGGAUAGCGAAAACAGUCGGUAUAGGCGUAGAGGAUCUAGACUCAAUCAGAAAUUAUACGACUACAGAGCUGUUUUAACUGUUUAUAACAUCCUGAACGCUUUGGACCAUCAUUUCAACAUGCAAAAUGGUCAUACGGCUGUUGCUCCUGUUGAGAAAACGCCACAGCCUGGUGUAGCCAAGUGGACACCCUCUGAAGAACGAGCAGAUGGAAACAUCAUUGGCGCCAAAGCUAAAAAGAUAUACAUCAAUGACAAUCUCAGUACUUUGGACAGAAUCGUUUUGUGUUUCGCCGAAUUUUUAGGAACUGGUAUGCUGGUUUUCAUUGGAUGCAUGGGAUGUGCGAAUAUGGGCAGUUUGCCAGAUCCUAUGAAGGUUGCAUUUGCUUUUGGAUUAGCUAUAACGAUAGCAGUACAGUGUUUUGGACAUAUAUCUGGAAGUCACAUUAAUCCAGCUGUCACAGUUGCGGCCGUCAUUUUGGGUCACACACCAGUUAUGCACAUUCCACUUUAUUUCAUAGGACAAAUGUUGGGAGGAAUUGGAGGCUUCGGUUUAUUGAAGGCGUUGAGUCCACUUGAAGCAACCGAACCAAUUGUAAACGGAACCACCACCCCUAUUUGCUCCCCAGGACCACUAAGUGCAGAUAUUCAUCCAUGGCAAGGGGUUUGCGUAGAAUUCGCCCUAACAUUCAUCCUGGUUAUGCUGUGUGCUGCAGUUUGGGACUGUCGUAACACCGAAAGAGUUGACUCUUUGUCUAUCAGGCUUGGUUUAGCUGUAGCUGUAUUGGCAAUGGUUGGAGGCUCAUACACAGGGGCAAAUAUGAAUCCAGCAAGAAGCUUUGGUCCAGCUUUAAUUAAUGGUGACUGGAAAGAUUGGUGGGUACCUAUGCAAUGUGUGUAUCUGCCAUGAAACUUCGCUGGAUACGAUGAAGUUGCUAUACAACCCAUCGGCCGCUUGAAUGAUAAAGCAUCGUUCUGUGGCAGAAGCUCUGACUUUAGGCUAAGGGCUGACCCUGUAGAUGGCUUGUAGUGUGAUUGUCCGCGCAAAGUGACGGCCCCUGUAUUCCAUGAUACCAAGAAUCUCCAAGGCAAUAGACAAGUUUGCUAAAAAAGUUCUUCUCAAUCGUAACAAAAAAAUAAUUUCAAUUUAGGUAAUGUAGGGGAAAAUUUCCCCGUAACAAUACAUCGGCUGAUCGGCAAAAAAAGUUUACAAAUUAACACCAGAAGAGGAAAUGUUUGGUGGGUAGGACCAAUGCUUGGAGGAUUGGUUGCAGGUCUCUUGUACAGGGUUGUAUUCAGCAAGGAAUACGAUAUGUUGGAGCAUUCGAUUGCUGAAGUGGUACCUAUGAAUGAAAGAGCAUGAAAAUAUAAAAAAAUCUUCAGAGUAUUAUUUAUAACUUAUACAUAGUAUAUAUAUAUUGGACUAUUUUAUACGAAGAGAUGAAUACAAGACUUACUUCAGUA